rnacentral:rRNA from 1 species
UACGGGAGGGGCAAGCGUUGUUCGGAAUUACUGGGCGUAAAGGGCUCGUAGGCGGCCAACUAAGUCAGACGUGAAAUCCCUCGGCUUAACCGGGGAACUGCGUCCGAUACUGGAUGGCUUGAGUUCGGGAGAGGGAUGCGGAAUUCCAGGUGUAGCGGUGAAAUGCGUAGAUAUCUGGAGGAACACCGGUGGCGAAGGCGGCAUCCUGGACCGACACUGACGCUGAGGAGCGAAAGCGUGGGGAGCGAACAGG